CGUGGAUAGGCUGGGUGUGUAAGUGCAGCGAUGCAUUGAGCUGACCAGUACUAAUGAACCGAGAGGCUUAACCUU
rnacentral:rRNA from 1 species